rnacentral:rRNA from 1 species
UUCGCAAUGCCCGAAAGGGUGACGAAGCGACGCCGCGUGCGGGAAGAAGGCCUUCGGGUUGUAAACCGCUGUCGGGAGUUAAGAAAUGCAAGAAUGUUAAUAGCGUCUUUGCUUGACUAAGGCUCCGGAGGAAGCCACGGCUAACUCUGUGCCAGCAGCCGCGGUAAUACAGAGGCGGCAAGCGUUGUUCGGAAUUAUUGGGCGUAAAGAGCACGUAGGCGGCUACAUAAGUCGGUUGUGAAAGCCUUCCGCUCAACGGGAGAACAGCAUCCGAUACUGCGUGGCUUGAGUGCGGGAGGGGAGAGCGGAACUUCUGGUGGAGCGGUGAAAUGCGUAGAUAUCAGAAGGAACGCCGGCGGCGAAAGCGGCUCUCUGGCCCAUAACUGACGCUGAGUGUGCGAAAGCUAGGGGAGCAAACGGGAUUAGAUACCCCGGUAGUCCUAGCCGUAAACGAUGGGCACUAAGUAGAGGGGUUU